GGCUAACGGCUGGCGGCGUGUCUUAGCCAUGCAAGUCGAGCGGACUUAUGGGGUAACUUAUAAGUCAGCGGCGGACGGCGGAGUAACACGUAGCUAACCUACCCUCUGGACGGGGAUAACCUACCGAAAGGUGGGCUAAUACCCGAUGUAGUCAUCCUGUAUAGGGGUGAUGAAAGGUGGGCUUCUGUUUACAAGCUCAUGCUGGAGGAGGGGGCUGCGGCCUAUCAGGUAGUUGGUAGGGUAAUAGCCUACCAAGCCGAUGACGGGUAGCCGGCCUGAGAGGGUGACCGGCCCGAGGGGCACUGAGAUACGGGUCCCACUCCUACGGGAGGCAGCAGGCUAGAAAUUUGGGCAAUGGGGGAAACCCUGACCCAGUGACGCCGCGUGCAGGAAGGAGCCCUUCGGGGUGUAAACUGCUGUCGUGUAGGGAGAAGGGUACUAAGGUGAACAAUCUUAGUACUUGACGGUACUACAGGAGGAAGCCCAGGCUAACCUCGUG
rnacentral:rRNA from 1 species